rnacentral:rRNA from 1 species
UACGGAGGGUGCAAGCGUUGUUCGGAAUCACUGGGCGUAAAGGGCGUGUAGGCGGUCUAUCAAGUCUGGUGUGAAAUCCCCUCGCUCAACGAGGGAACUGCGCCGGAAACUGACAGACUAGAGUACCGGAGAGGAAGGUGGAAUUCCCGGUGUAGCGGUGAAAUGCGUAGAUAUCGGGAGGAACAACGGUGGCGAAGGCGGCCUUCUGGACGGAUACUGACGCUGAGACGCGAAAGCGUGGGGAGCAAACCGG